CCAGAAGGUGGGAGUAGGGGCAGUGGCGAAGAUGAGCCCUCGUGGCCCCUGUCGUAGGGGUUUAUGACCUGAAUGGUUCUUGACCUUGGACAUGAUUGAAGGGAACAACUAUAUCCAUUUGUUUUGCAAAUCAGAAGUAAAUUUUCAAAUUUAAAAUAAAAACAAGAGAUGGUCUAGCUAGUUACCAGGAGGAGAGAUCCACUACACAUAUGACCAGAAGAAGCUCCAUAAAUACAUGUAUAGGCACCAUUAGUUGCUAGUCAAACUUUUUGAUUGACUUACAAAACAGGUAAACACAUGUCAUAAAUAUCGAUAUAAAUUAGAAGUCUAAAUAAAGCACAAAGCAAACAGUUGUACAUUCAUAGAAAACUGAUACCUCCAAACAAAUAAAUAAACAUCUAAU
rnacentral:lncRNA from 1 species